UACGAAGGGGGCUAGCGUUGCUCGGAAUCACUGGGCGUAAAGCGCACGUAGGCGGCUUUUUAAGUCAGAGGUGAAAUCCUGGAGCUCAACUCCAGAACUGCCUUUGAUACUGGAGAGCUUGAGUCCGGGAGAGGUGAGUGGAACUGCGAGUGUAGAGGUGAAAUUCGUAGAUAUUCGCAAGAACACCAGUGGCGAAGGCGGCUCACUGGCCCGGUACUGACGCUGAGGCGCGAAAGCUAGGGGAGCAAACAGG
rnacentral:rRNA from 1 species